rnacentral:lncRNA from 1 species
AUGGAGGGAGGUGGCCUGCUGGCCUGGGAGUGUUCUGUUAUGCCUCACUAUCAGCCUUCUGCUUGGAAGGACAAAUACUUUCACCAUUAACUGCUCAGGCUUUGACCAGCAUGGGGUGGAGCCUGCUGCCUUCCAGGCCAUAUUUAACCAGAAGGCCUUCUGUCCAGUCAUCAACUCCAGCCUCCCCGCUCAUGUCAACAUCUCCUUCACCCUGUCUGCCAUACUGGGACAGGGUGCACAACUUUAGCUGAUGUUGUCAUUUCUGUGGUUAAAUAUGGCUGGGAAAACCCACUCAGCAGCUGGGACCCAGAAGAAUAUGGUGAUAUCAAUAAACUCACUGUGACAGCUGAGAACCCAUGGUUUCCAGACAUCUUCAUCAUGAAGGAAGUAUAGGAAAUAGCAGAUACUUCAAGUGACACUGUGCAAACACAGUGGGAGUGGGAGCUCCUGGGCAUCAACAAGGCCACACUGAAGAUAUCUGUGGGUUCCAGUCUUUUUGACCAAAUCAGUGGCCAUCAGGUGCAGGCCCAGCCUCUAUGUGAUAAAUUUUCUGGUGCACAGUGCUUUCUGGUUGCCAUCGAUGCCCUCAGCUUCUACCUACUAGCAGAAAGUGCGAAUCAUGCCCCAUUCGAGGCCACCCUUCAGCUGGGCUGCAGCGUCUUCCUGCUCAUGGUGAAUACACUACUCCCCGCUAGUGUCACCCCCUCAUCAUUUGCCUGUCCCUGGUGGUGGGCAGCCUGCUGGAGACCGUCUUCAUCACCCACCUGCUGCACGUGGCCACCACCCAGCCCCCACCCAUGCCUAGGUGGCUUCACUCCCUGCUGCUCCACUGCACCAGCCCAGGGAGAUGCUGUCCCACUGCGCCCCAGAAGGGAAAUAAGGGCCUGGGACUCACCCCCACCCACCUGCAGGCCCAAAGGAGCCGGGGGAGUUAGCAGGGAAGGAGGUGAGACCCGGAGAGACUGAGCUAGAUGGGGGCUCAGGAUGGACAAACGCCCAGCUAGUGGAGCUGUGGGUGCAGUUCAGCCACGCGAUGGACACCCUGCUCUUCCGCCUC